rnacentral:rRNA from 1 species
GUAGGGAAUCUUCGGCAAUGGACGAAAGUCUGACCGAGCAACGCCGCGUGAGUGAAGAAGGUUUUCGGAUCGUAAAACUCUGUUGGUAGAGAAGAACGUUGGUGAGAGUGGAAAGCUCAUCAAGUGACGGUAACUACCCAGAAAGGGACGGCUAACUACGUGCCAGCAGCCGCGGUAAUACGUAGGUCCCGAGCGUUGUCCGGAUUUAUUGGGCGUAAAGCGAGCGCAGGUGGUUUAUUAAGUCUGGUGUAAAAGGCAGUGGCUCAACCAUUGUAUGCAUUGGAAACUGGUAGACUGGAGUGCAGGAGAGGAGAGUGGAAUUCCAUGUGUAGCGGUGAAAUGCGUAGAUAUAUGGAGGAACACCGGUGGCGAAAGCGGCUCUCUGGCCUGUAACUGACACUGAGGCUCGAAAGCGUGGGGAGCAAACAGGAUUAGAAACCCUGGUAGUCC